rnacentral:rRNA from 1 species
UGGGGAAUUUUGGACAAUGGGCGCAAGCCUGAACCAGCAAUGCCGCGUGCAGGAUGAAGGCCUUCGGGUUGUAAACUGCUUUUGUACGGAGCGAAAAGGUCUGCCCUAAUACGGUGGGCUCAUGACGGUACCGUAAGAAUAAGCACCGGCUAACUACGUGCCAGCAGCCGCGGUAAUACGUAGGGUGCGAGCGUUAAUCGGAAUUACUGGGCGUAAAGCGUGCGCAGGCGGUUAUAUAAGACAGAUGUGAAAUCCCCGGGCUCAACCUGAGACCUACAUUUGUGACUGUAUAGCUAGAGUACGGUAGAGGGGGAUGAAAUUCCGCGUAUAGCAGUGAAAUGCGUAGAUAUGCAGAGGAACACCGAUAGCGAAGGCAAUCCCCUGGACCUGUACUGACGCUCAUGCACGAAAGCGUGGGGAGCAAACA